rnacentral:lncRNA from 1 species
GCUGAAUACCACUGAAUGAACAAGUGCUGACGACAGAAAGAUGAAUAAGAUGCUGACUCUGUCCUCGAGGUACAUACAAUCCAGUGGAGACACACAGUCUUGUGCAUGAAUAAGAACAACAUGGCAAUAAUGAGCAACAGUGCCUUUGUGGGGCAAAGUCAUGUGGUGCCACUUCCAUCUGUUUUAUUAACAAACAGAACAUGGUCUCUUAAAAGAGGCUUUUCUGGAUGUGCUUUUUGUUUUUUUAAGUGCUGAAAGGUAUGUACUACAUUCCAGAAGAUAAAUAUGCCCCUAGUUUGGCUCUCCCAGAGGAAGUGUGAGCAUUCUAAG